GGGGCCUUAGCUCAGCUGGGAGAGCACCUGCCUUGCACGCAGGGGGUCAGCGGUUCGAUCCCGCUAGGCUCCA
rfam:Clostridium spiroforme DSM 1552 Scfld_02_1 genomic scaffold, whole genome shotgun sequence.